rnacentral:misc_RNA from 1 species
ACGCUUGCUUACACACGCGCAGGUUUGCACUCCUAGAGCCCCCCUUCCACCUCCACACGCGCAUACAUACCCACACAAGUCAUUCCGUGGUCUGUUCGGGCUUGGGCACUGCCGGUGCAGCUCCCUCGCUUGCACCUUUGAAGAUAAUCACGCUCCCGGCCUUUGUCUCCGUCACGUACCGCUAAUACCAUGGAGAAGGAGUCCCUUGAGGCCCCGAACAGUGCGAACGGCAGCUUCUCUGUGGUAAAUCACGACUUGAUAAAACCUUCUGAUGCACGAAGCAAGACAAACUCGAACGCGACGGCCUCCGCCACCAGGCCGUCGCGCGACCGCGCCGACUCCGUCCGCGUUUCGCGCCAGCAUAUGUACGUUGAUAUUGACCAGGUCGGUUUUUGCAACGACGCCACUUCGAUGGUUUGGGUGCCCGAUACACGCGGCCCGACGAGCAGCCUACGCACUAACGACGAGUCGUCGUCCACGAAGGGCGGUGACGGUUUCGCUGUGCCGUCGUCACAGACUCGUAUUCCUGCCAUCGCGCUGGCCCGCUAUGUGCGGUCAAGCAGCGUCGGCGAUGCCGCACCGGUGAUUGUGCGAGGGCACAAGUACGUCUUCAAUAACCGCACCAGGCGCUGGUUGGCUCACCCCAUCACAGUUCGCGUCCUGCACUACAACCGCGGCAUCCAUCAGGAUAAAUAUUUCGCCACCUUCGCCAUGGAGUUGCUGGACCCCGUGAAGCCGGCGACACCGAUGCUCGCCAAGGUGUACCGCCACAACAUCGAUCUCGUCUCAGAGACCGACUACUACAGCCUUGGGCAGGCACAGGCGUUGUGCGAGGAGUUCGCACGCGAAUACACGUGCACGGCCGCGCGUUCCCACUACGUGAAGUUCCACCUUCCACUUCUCACCAAUCGCGUCGUGGUCCGCCUCGACAUGGACUCCGUUCUCGACCCGGCCGUUCGCACCGCGCGUAAGGGCUUCUUUUCGUACCGCACCCAGGACACGAGGCAGGUAAUGUUCUUCAUGGAGCCAAACACAGUCGCGUGCGAGGCUCUCGGCAUCUCCUUUGCAUCUCGUGAAGUGGACGAGGGCAAGUGUUACAGUCGCGGCGACGCGAUGUGGUCGCGCGACAUCUACCGCGACAUCGCAGACGGCUUCUCGCACUUCACCUACGUCAGGAGCCGCGCGUGUAUGGUGGCGCACGGGUUCGUGCGCAGCAAUGGGUAUCUGCUAGAUCCUCUGUUUCACACGACUGACAGUGAGCGGUUCACCAUGGGCGAUGCAGGGAGGAGCGCUAUGGAGGACUGGGUCAAGCGGCAUCGGUGCGGUGACACCUGCCGCGCCCUCGGCAUCUCCAACUUCAACAACGACGGUGAGCGCGUCAAAAAGGCUGCCGCCUGUGUCAACCCACUCGACAUGGAGGAGAAUCACUAUACCGAUUACCUGCGGAGCGUUCGUCAAAUGCGAGUGAUAGUGCAUAUGGACGCGGCGCAGAUCUUGUGCGACCACAAAAAGGAUUCGGCCGUCGACACCGUCUCGGAGAGCUCUGAUUUCACGCCCACAAUGGCCGCCCUUCAGCCGGUGCCAGUUUCGUCUGUCUCGCGCAAGGUGACCUGCGAUGCCGUGAAGUACGUCUUCCUGCCUACUCGCGCCAAGUGGAUGGAGGUCCCGAUGCGGCUUACCGUAGCCGCGUCGGCGGUGCCGGAUACCGUGGACGGCACGUAUGCUUUCUUCGCCAUCGAGGAGGUGCGUGAGGGCGGGCGUCCGGUGCCGAUGCGUGCGCGAUUCCUUCUACGGCCUGAAGCGCGGGAUGCGGACUACUACCACUUCGGCGACGCCUACUGUGUGUGCGUGACCCUGGGCCAGGUCUUCCGCGAGUAUUGCGCGAACAACGUGUUUGCGCGAGACCUCGAUUUCUACGCUGCCUAUGCGGUGCGUGUGCCACAGGCCAACAUCCCGGACUACAUCAAAGCAGCGGUGCACGACUCCGACUUCUUUGCUCGCACCACGGCAGACUCCGGCGACGUGAUGUUCGUUGCUGAGGCGGAGUUUCAGCCCUUCUCUCCGCGGUGUUUACCGAAUGCCGACGGUGUGUCGAAGGACGCUGAAGGCUUCGACGACCUCGCGUUGCGCAACGUUGUCGACGCCUUCUCGCACUUCACGCUGCACAAGUCUGGCAAUCAUUUGUUGGUGUGCCAGUUCAAGUGUCAGGACGGUCUCCUCAUGCACCCAAAUAUCAACACCUCCAGCGGUUGCGGUUUCGAGACGCUCAACGACGGUCAGGCUGGCAUCGACGCAUGGGUGCGGAAGCACACGUGCAACGAGGUGUGCAAGUUUCUGGGGAUGGAGCCGCUGCCACGGCAGUUGAAGCUGUACGACAUUUCUUCGAGCCCGUUGAUGCGGUACAUCAGGCAUGUGCAGGAGCACAAGAUGGGCUCCGACGAGAUGCUCGAGCUUGCGCCACCAUCACGCAGGAUGUCGGACCGAAUGCUGCCGGCAGCGUCUGACGCGGCUGCCAGCCAGUCGGAGAGGGCGCGCACGAGCUCUUCUGCCACUGCAUCGACGGCGACAGCCGCCGUCGCCUCUUUUGUGCGACCGACCCCACCGAAUUCGGAGGAAACAAUGCUCCGCCCGUGGGUGAAGAGAGGCUGCAAGGCGAGCGCUGCAAGUGCGAAGGGGACUGCAGCGCAGCGCCGCACGCUGACGCAGCGGGAGCUGAUGCGCCUCCAGUCGAAGGGAAUCGAUACGAAGUACAUCAUUCCCGCAACGCGCUACGACCUUAACAUCGACGACCUUACGUGGACUUCCAAACGCAUCUUUGUGCGCAUCGUCAACCCGGAGCGUGGCAUCGGCCAGGGUGGCAUGCGUGUGUGUUUUGAGAUCACAGACGUAGACCCCGAUGCCUGCGCGGAAUCCGUGAUGGUGGCGAAGAUGUACCGCCGCACGAUCAAGAAUGUCGUGGAGAAGGACUACUUUACGAGUGUGAUGGUGCAGAAGCUGUCCUCGCUCUUCGCAAAGGACUUCAACAAGGAGAGGAACGAAGAUGGCCACUUGCUCCUGAAUGUGCUGGACGGCGCCGUCAUCGCAUUGGACCGUGCGGACUUGCCCCCAGAACUGCUCGCGCAGCGCACGGGCUUUUUCUCCUAUCGCACCGAGGACACGGAGCGGGUGGUGUUCUGCGUCGAGCAGAGGCUGCUUGGUCGCUUCACGAAGUACAACGGCAACAUGGGCGAAGCCUACCCCACAAAUGAAUGCCGUCUCAGUCCGCCCGCCGCCCGCGAGCGCACCAUGGUCUUCGAGGCGGUGGAGGCGCUCUCGCACUAUUCCCUGGAGAGGAGUGAGGGUGGCUUGCUCGUCUGCGACAUGCAGGGAGUGAGGAACGACUUGACGGACCUGGAGGUGCACUCGUACGAUGGCCAGAGCCUGGACAUUGGCAACUUUGGCGCCCGCGGCAUCCAAAAGUUUGCGCUGCGCCACCGCUGCACCAGCGUGUGCAAGAGUCUCAACCUCCGCAACUUGCGCGACAGGCACUUCACCGUGACAGAUGAUGUGAAGACGAAGAACCGAUUUGUCGCCCUUUUUGAGCGCAUCAAGGAGAUUGGCAAUAUGGAGGAGUAAGCGGCGAGGAAACGAGAGAGCAACAUGAGAAGGAAAGCAGACGCCGUGUGACCACACACGUGCAGGAGGAGCAUGGGAUCGUUACUGCUCAUAUCGUGCCUUUGCUCAGGGCGAGCUCUUCCUGGUACCCGGAUCGCUUCGCGCACCUCGCUCCACCCCUCUCUGCCCUCUUCCCCAGCCCCGCUUGAGGCGAAGGUGCAGAUUCUGAGGAAGAGCGACGCCUUCGUUCGGACUCCGUUGACGUUGUCGUUCUCAACUACUGGUACCGCACCCCGGGGAGCCAGCGCAUGGGAGUGCGUGCGUGCCAGUGCUUGCCCGCGUCGGAGUAUGAGAUGGCGACCACAUUCCUCGAGGAGGGGCCUCAGAUGCGGAGGAGAUGGUGGUGGACACAUUUUCCAGCCGCCUGCGCAGUCAGUUGGUGGAGGAAGACUGCCCGGUCACAUGUACCCUUCGCCCUCCUCACACAUAUAAAGAAGAUAGCAGGUCUUCUCGGCAUCGCCAACGACUCCCGUGCUCACCUAUGGACCUGCUGUUUACCUCUAUGCUCACAAUGCACGUUCUCUGUCUUUUUCUUCCUUCGCAUGACGCGUGUGCAUCAACAUGGCUAGCCUCACGACUAUUUGUGGUUGACCGCGAACCGAGCCAGCGAGUGGGUACAACGGAAGAGUGGGUGAGGGGGGGGGGCAGAAAAAAAAGGAAGAAGCGGUAUACUUACACGCACUCAGGGUGUCCAGGUGAGUAUCAUAAUCAAAAAAAAGGAAGAUCUGCUGAUUCACAAAUUCGGCUUCUGCACCUUCCCCCCCCCACCCCUUCCCUCUUUGCUCUGCGCUCGACUGGACACUCUGUAAAAAUCGAGCGUUUUUGUCUUUGGUUAUAGUUCACUUUCUUUUUUUCCCCUGUGUUUUGUUAGUUUGUCGUUUUCCUCGGCUUUUUUCGGGCACAGUUAUUUUGCCCCUGCUCGCUCUCUGUACAAUGGAUGGCUGAGCGUGUGCGUGUGUGUCUCUCUCUGUGCUCUCUUUUUUGGUGCGUGUGCAGCUCGCUUGCUUCUUUUCUUUUUUUUGGACUAACUGCUGAUGAACGCCAUAACUCCACCUUCCUAUCCUUUCCUUUGCCUCCCUUGCCACAUUGCCGUUUUCUAAAAUUUAAUGUGGCACUCGCGUUGUUCGUCGGUGUGACAUGCACUAAAAGCACACCGUAAAGUGCCUUUGCGUAUGUGCCUAAGAGUUUCGUUUGUGCAGCGUGUGACAGCCGCACAAGCGUUUUUUUUUUCGGAUUUUGGCGUUCGUACGUUGCAGUUCAUUCUUUCCUCACUAUUUGUCGUUUCCUUCCUUGUGAUUCUGCCGUUGGUUGUCCGUGGCGCUGGCUUGGGCCACCCUCUUCAUGCUUCGACACCUGAGUGGAUGCUGCCCACUGCCCUCCUCCUCUUUCACAACUUCAUCGUUUCAUUGAGUAUCUCUUUUUGUGUUGUUUCGCGUUGUGUUGUGACCUUUUUCGGGAGCGAACAUAACCGAAAACAGAAAAAAAACGGCCUCACAGGCGGUACGGAUUUCGGCGCGUCGAUCUUCGCUUUUAUCGUUGGCUCUUCCGUUCUUCUCCCCUGUUUUUCAGCGUUACGUCGCGUCUUUUGUCUCUCUCUGGUGUGUCCACCUUUGUUGUUGUUAGAGAGGCUUCGCCUCCUGGUCUGCUUGUCUUGCGUGUCCUUGCAUGCUACCAGAAAGGAAUAAUAGGUGCCGUAUAUCCACGGCUACGCGUCUGUGUGUCGGCACACACACUGGUUCGAAAAGAUGUACUCGGGCUACGGAGCACGAGAGCAUGCCCUUGUGCUGUCCUUUCACUUCUUUAUUGUCUACUCGUGUUCCUUUCCAUGCUUUGCUAAGCUGUAUUCGUCUGGGGUGCGCAUCGCCGAACCAUGGUGGAGGACAACUUCUUACAUUGUCCUUUUCCCCCUUUUGCGCCGUUUUUCGGGUCAUGUACUCGUGCCCUGUGCCCCCGUCUAUGCGCACGGAAAACGGCGAUGCCGUUGCAGCUGCGGAGGGCAGCGUAGAGCUGCGCCCCUUCGCCCUUCACCGGUCUCAUCAGGUGAAGGGUGUUUCAGAAUAAUGUGCCCUUUUUGUCGCGUUUCCGACGCGGAUGGUCUUCGCCCUCCUCCUCCUCUUCGCCGUAGAUUUUUGGGUGCUCUACUUUGUGCCCCAGCCCUCCCUUCUCUUCUUCGCCAUCGUGCCUUGUUGGUCUCUGGAUAUCUUGUUGCCUACUUGUAUGCACUCGUACUCUGUUUCAUGUGUUUGUGUUGGCCGCUGAUCUCAUUCCCCUCCCUACCUCUUAUCGUCCUUCCUUUUCAGUUUCCAGUUGGUGAGUCCUUGCCGCUCGGGGCAUUUUUUUUCUUUUGCUUCUAUUGUUCUGAUUUCUCUUCGGGCACCCUCCGUGAGUGCGUGCGUGUGUGCUUGCAUUCGUUUGGCAGGCAACCGGUGCGCGGGCUCUCUGUGCCGCUUUGGCCACAUCUCCACGCAGAAAAAAAAGACCCUAGAGGGGAUGGGGGGGGGGCAGAAAAUGAAGGGCGACCCGUCGCUGAAAGCAUCGCUGCGGCAUUGAAGGUGACCAGCACAGUGGCCGAUUUUCAAGUGCACAUGCACGUGACGCCGCGUUUAUCUGACGUUGUGCCAUUGCUGAGCUGGGCGUUGCGUGCUUUUUGCUUUUUUCCUUCACGCCACCGUCUCUUUUUCUGCUUCUUUGUUUUCGGUUUAAAGGCCCUUGCAGCGGCACACACCUCAGUGCGUGGUAGCACACAGCCCCGAGCCGCAGGCUUUCUGGGAAGGAUGCCAUGCAGACCCCCUCCUCCCUCGAUCCCCCUGCCAAAUGCCGGGCCACUUGUGGUGGUGACAGGGUCACGCACCCUACGCCGUGGGGAGCUGGGAGCGAUGCAUCGCUGCUCAUGUCGUCGGUGAGGCUCUGGACGGUGUUGUGUGGGAGCGACAUGCGACAGUGAGCACGCUUGUGCCAUCCAUAUGAUAGGCAAAGUGUCAGCGUGGCUCGAACGUGCAUCCUACCCGGCCCUCGCACUGCCCACCGUCGUGGUUAGCCUGAGCCGCCCCACAGGGGAUGCAGCAGGGGUGGCGACCCUCGCGAUGGGAGGGCGUCUCUGCGGUGGGUGGGUCGAGUGUGAGGCAGGGGCCCUGCUGCGAGAUGGCUGAGUCGGUGCACUGCUGUAACGUGUGUGCCGUGACGGGGGGAGGGGGGGGGCUUCGCACCGCGCGGAUAGGCCUGUGACGGACCGGGAACUGGUGGUAGAGCGGCGUUUGAGCUCAUGGCUUGCCGUGGAGGGGGCUCGCUGAAACAGAACACAAAGAAGAAGUGUUUUCAAUGUCAGUGCUUACCGCGUCUCUCUGCCUCUAUAACGUUUGGUUUCGGGCUUUUCCGCGUGCCUCUUGGUCUGUCACCCUCCCCCAUCAUCUUCCCCUCCCCUCCGCUCAGCUCUUCGGUUGUCUCUUUGUGUUUUGGGCUCUUUUUUUUGUUUCCCUGCUUCGAUUUUGUAAUUUUUGCGUCCAGCUUCAUUGAGCGAGGCAAGCAGAGAGUGAGGGCGAUUUCCUUACCGCCACAAAAACGAAAAACAAAAAAAAGGAGUGGCCUUCUGCUGAUGGUGUAGCGGGGUAGUCUUUUGUUGUGUCUCUGUUGUGUGCCUCCCCUGCCCCGGUGACAUCUGAUUUUGUCGUUCGUUCCUCUUCUUACCAUCAUCUCUUGCUUUCUUCGACAGUUGUGCGUCUCAUUUUUUGUCCGUGUUAUCGAAGGGGUGCGGCGGUGCUCGUUGAAAACCUCUACUUCGCUCUGCGGUAGCAGAGCCCUUACAUGACAAGCUUCCUUUCUGCUUUCCUUUUUUUUAAUCGAUCAUCCUUUCUCUCUCUCUCUCCGACGUCUCUUUCAGCGUUUCUGUUGUCGCCUAAUUUCCAAUCUCCUUUUUGCUGAUGCUCUUGUGUGCCGAUGGCUCACUCACGUUACCCACGUUCACGUCAGCGUUGGACUUGCGAUUUGUUUUCUGUUUCUCUUCCCUUCUUUUUGCAUUUUCCGAUCCUCGACGACGCCGGCCACCUCAGCGCGUGGUAUCGGCGUCGAGCGCCCAGGCUUUCUGGAGAAGCGGCGAGGCUGCCGCCUACUUCUGGGCACGGCUGGCGGACGCUUGGUGUCGGUGGGCAGGCUCGGUGCCGCUCUGUGCGGGGGAGACUUGCUGCCGGGAUGAUGCUUGUACCAGCUCCCCAGGAAGCACGCCAAGGACGCGGCACGUAUUGGAGAGCAAGAGGCACGCCGAUCAGCCCCACAGCACAUGCCUGCGAAGCGCACGGCACUUCCAACGUCCCGGGCGGGUGGGCUGGCGAGGCCCGGGUGCCGGCAGCAUGGCGAGAGCAGCCCGAAUCAACGCAGCGAGUCCUCCAGACGCCCAUGUGGAGUGUCGCCACACGGUGGCACGGGAGUGCGCGGCGCGAGGCAACGGGGUGCGAAGGAUGGCCCGCAGGCAGCGGUGCGCAGGGUCUCGGAGGGCCCUGGCCUGAGAGGCUGGCCGACGUUGUCCGUGAGCUCACCCGGUGCGCGCGUAGCUGACGCCUCGCCUGUUGGCCGGCACGACGGGCACCACGGCUUCCGCCCUCGAGCGGGGGACCCUUGGCGGCGGUGUGCUUUGGGUGAAGGCGUGCAGGCCACCCGCGUCUGCGUCUGGCGCGGAUCGGGCAGCACGCCGCCGGCGGAGGGACCGAGAGGGGCAGGAUGGGGAGAGCUGGUUAGACGCGUGGCCUGAUUCGAUGACAGGGGCUGGGCGGGCGCGUCCCAGAGGGCCUGGAUGUCGCGGUGGUGCGGCAGCGGUGGUGGAGCUGUGGCUGGGUGUGCGUAUAUUCUGUUGCCCUGUACUUGGUCGAAUAUGGACACGCUGAAGGAAAAGGUAAACGCGCCUAGUCUGUGUGUGUGAGCCUCCCUGCAGUUCAUCUGCUGCGUUUUUUCUUUUGCAACAUGAGUGUGGACAUUUGCACCCCUCUACUUGCGAGUGUGAGUGCUUUUUUUUUCGGUGGAGUGUCUUGCUGUAUGCUGGCUGCUCACCCCACCUCGUUUUUUGCGCCCUACAACUCCGCAUAUAUCGUACGCGUGAUGCGUUUUUUUUUUUUAGUUGCUUUUUUUCUGUGUGCUUGCGGCUCUGCGCACCUUUCGCAAAGGUCUUUGCUGCAGCCGUAGUGUUUGCUUCGUACAUUCUUGCGCAUAAUAAGGUGUUCACCCACCGUUUAGAGAGAACAACAGGAUCUGCAUUGAAAGGACCCGGUCGUGAUUCUCAAAUGGAGGCAUAGCGCCGGAAAAAAAAGCCGCAACAAAAAGAAUUCAGUUCACUGUGUGUGUGUGUACGGCCACGCAAAGGAGGCGAGAAAGUUCGUGGAUAAUACCCAAGGACGCCGAGCGGGCAUCCCGCUCCCCUCGUUCUCUUUGAAUGCACACACAGUUGCACGGAGCCCCAGAGGCACCGAUCCUGCUCUUGGCGUUGUAAGCAAAAUAUUCGACGCGCUAGAGUGCAAAAGGCAUCUCUCGCGCCUCACCGCGCGUGCCUGUGUCCGUUCUGCUUUGCGUUCUUGUUGCAGCGAGCGCCGCCUCACGCGCUCGGUGUGACAACCGACACCACUGACACUUCUCCAAACUCUCACCUCGAGCAG